AGUCUCCGCCUUUCCUCCUUUACUCCUCACAGGCUCUUCUCCAGCACCAAAUACGGUCCACUGAAAGGAAGGCCUCACCCUGGGGAUGGCACCUGUCUCUUCUCGGUUAAACAGGCCUGUCUCCCUCCCUUCCCCACCGCCAUCCUUUCUGGUCUUCUGAGAAUGCUGGCUUCCCUACUGCACAGUCAAGAGCAAGCAAAGCAAAACUCUUUGGUCUCGAGCUGCUGCACUCUUCUCGAAACUAAACCAUGAUCUGCUCCCAGGAGAGCAGGAGAAAGUAAAUGUAGGAACUGCUUUUUCAAUCCAUUUACUGCUACAAGCACCGGCGGCUUUCCCCCUGCACUUCCAUGUUGUGAUCGGCAAGCUCAGGUAAAAGAUUCUGUGAGAACCCUGAGAUACUGUAUCAGACGAUGAGGAACUGGCAGUAGUACAAUGAACGGUGUAGUGAAGCGUCUCCAGCCAUGAAUAUAGGACACAACCUAGAUCUGUGGAUAACUAAAUAAAAAUAAAGCCCCGUUCUGGUUAGCUCGGUCACUGUUUUCAUACUUGCUAAACAAAAGCAGAAAACAACAGAACUGGGACAGAUUAUUUAUAGUGACACCUUUCUUGGAUAAUUACAACCCAGCAGCUCAUUUGAGGGGCACAAGUGAUUAUUAUUCCUUUGUUCUAAAGUUGACAAUUGGGGCACUAAUCAAGCAUAGCUGCAAAUGGACCAAGUAGUAAAGCAGUGGGGAAUAUUAAGAUUAGACCAAGAUAAGUAUUAUCAAAAAGAAAAUAAAUCGUCUGACAAUGAGUCCUUCAGUCAAAUUCUGAAAGCCAAACAUUCUGCUGCAGGUAACUAAUAAACCAAACCAAUGUUUAUUCCUUCAGGCCAUACCUAAGAUAUUCCAUGUGGCGCUGGCUGUAACAGGGAAAGUAAAGAAAGAGUCCCAGCAAAUAUUAAAAAAUACAGAGGUUGAUCUGCGAA